rnacentral:misc_RNA from 1 species
UCUCUUGAAUCUUGAUGAGCUUAUCUCUUCAUUUAUUCUCUUUUUAUCUACCUCCACCCACUCAUAAGUGGUAAAAAUAUGAAAAAACAAUUGCUACCGUCUUUUCCUUUGAUACUCUCACGCUUUCUCCAAAGCAACAUGUCCUUGAAGCAUGCUAGCCAAUUUGAAGAAAUUAUCAUGUGAAGCAUUAGUCAUUCAGCUUCAGCAGCUUGUUUAAUUUUUCCCCGAUUCAUAUAGAGCAAAGUACUUUUGCUUUACGUGAUCAUGACAUUGCAGAACUCCAAAUUGGAAUCUGAAAAUGAG